UUGUUUUUUUAGGUUUUGAUUUUUAUGCCAUGCUCAUGUGAAAAUCAAAAUCUAAAGAAAAUG
rfam:Ophiophagus hannah scaffold5037.1, whole genome shotgun sequence.